rnacentral:rRNA from 1 species
CUCUUCGGAGAGAGUGGCAGACGGGUGCGUAACACGUGGGAACCUACCUAAAGUACGGAAUAACAUCGAGUAAAUCGUUGCUAAUACCGUAUGUGCCCUUCGGGGGAAAGAUUCAUCGCCUUUAGAUGGGCCCGCGGCAGAUUAGCUAGUUGGUGGGGUAAAAGCCUACCAAGGCGACGAUCUGUAGCUGGUCUGAGAGGAUGAUCAGCCACACUGGGACUGAGACACGGCCCAACUCCUACGGGAGGCAGCAGUGGGGAAUAUUGGACAAUGGGCGAAAGCCUGAUCCAGCAAUGCCGCGUGAGUGAUGAAGGCCUUAGGGUUGUAAAGCUCUUUUACCAGGGAUGAUAAUGACAGUACCUGGAGAAUAAGCUCCGGCUAACUCCGUGC